rnacentral:rRNA from 1 species
UUCGCUAAAACCCCAUAUGCCCCUGGGUGAAAAAGAGGAGAUAAGUUAAACUGAAUCACCUCUGCCUGAAGAGAAGCUCGCGGCUGAUUAGCUAGUUGGUAGGGUAAUGGCCUACCAAGGCGACGAUCAGUAGCUGGUCUGAGAGGACGAUCAGCCACACUGGAACUGAGACACGGUCCAGACUCCUACGGGAGGCAGCAGUGAGGAAUUUUCUGCAAUGGGCGAAAGCCUGACAGAGCAAUACCGCGUGAGGGAUGAAGACUUACUGAGUUGUAAACCUCGGUGCCUUAAGGAAGAAGAUCUGACGGUACUUAAGGUGGAAAGCAUCGGCUAACUCCGUGCCAGCAGCCGCGGUAAGACGGGGGAUGCAAGUGUUAUCCGGAAUUACUGGGCGUAAAGCGUCUGCAGGUGGUUUCUUAAGUCUACUGUUAAAUCUUGAGGCUCAACCUCAAAUCUGCAGUAGAAACUAGGAGACUUGAGUAUAGUAGGGGUAGAGGGAAUUUCCAGUGGAGCGGUGAAAUGCGUAGAUAUUGGAAAGAACACCGAUGGCGAAGGCACUCUACUGGGCUAUUACUGACACUCAGAGACGAAAGCUAGGGGAGCAAAUGGGAUUAGAUACC